rnacentral:lncRNA from 1 species
AGAGUAGCAAGAUAAAUAAAGCAAAUAUUCAUCCUGGUCAAUAUAAGUAUAAAUACAAAUAUUGAAUGACAUCCCAAUGAGUUGCUUGCUAAUUUCUCUAUUUCUCCUUCAUUUUUCUUUUUCUCUUUCCAUGUACGCAAUUCUCAAGAUCUGAUGUAUAAAAAGUACAUAAAAAUCUUUAUUAGUCUCUAAUUAACACCAGAAAUGUCAAUAUAGCAAAUUUUAAGUAAUUAGUAAAGAAGAAAGUAUAACACCCAAAUAUUAUUCCAACAUAAUCAUACCUUGAAGUUUAGGAUUAAGCUUGUCUGAAGAAAGUAAACUCAGGGAAUCAGAAAAAUAGUUGUGUGACAGAAAGAAAAGCUGUUUAAAGAAAGAAGUUGAAGUAAUUAAUUUGCUAAUGACAA